rnacentral:rRNA from 1 species
CCUACGGGUGGCAGCAGUGAGGAAUAUUGGUCAAUGGGCGGGAGCCUGAACCAGCCAAGUCGCGUGAGGGAAGACGGUCCUACGGAUUGUAAACCUCUUUUGCCGGGGAGCAACGGGGUCCUUGCGAGGGCCCGAUGAGAGUACCCGGAGAAAAAGCAUCGGCUAACUCCGUGCCAGCAGCCGCGGUAAUACGGAGGAUGCGAGCGUUAUCCGGAUUUAUUGGGUUUAAAGGGUGCGUAGGCGGAAGGUUAAGUCAGCGGUCAAAUGUCGGUGCUCAACACCGGCCUGCCGUUGAAACUGGUCUUCUUGAGUGAGCGAGAAGUAUGCGGAAUGCGUGGUGUAGCGGUGAAAUGCAUAGAUAUCACGCAGAACUCCGAUUGCGAAGGCAGCAUACCGGCGCUCAACUGACGCUGAGGCACGAAAGCGUGGGGAUCGAACAGGAUUAGAUACCCUGGUAGUC